ACUUGAUCAAAGAUACAACACACAUUUGUAUGAAAGUCAAACAAUAUGACAGAAUAUUAUAUUUUGACAAGGCCGGUCUUUUUAACUAGUUUUUGAGCGUCUUUUAUGCGUGUUUACUUAAUUAUCCGAACUAGUGUUUUAUGCAUGAUGUGGGAGUGUCCUUUCUGUAAGUUGCCAAAGACGCGCUUUUUGCUAAUUUGAAUUGACCUUUCUCGGCUACCGUACACUUCCGCUUCAGUGGGCAGCUAGCUCUUCAGGUUGAUACCUUUUGUGCUUUCGAAUGAGUCAUGUCAACUUUUUCCAACCUCUCAAUUUGCUGUAUGUAUGUAAAUGCAUACAUGUAAACAAAGACAUGAAAGGAGAAUCAUUGUUAGUCGUUAGGUCAGUGGAAACUCGCUAGCUCUCGUGAAACAAGAGGUGGAGCGUUAGCUAGCACGCCCACAAGCAGCACUCACUCGGCUGUCAAUCAAUGGAUUAUCAAGGAAAGCGUUCGACUUCAAUGUUGUUUUUCUCUGUUUUGCCACGUCAAAACUUGAAGACUGGAGGCUCCACGUCGGUUGCUGGUCGUCCAUCUAUCUGCAUAUCUCCAAAGAGUCAACAAAGUAACAAGUUGAGUGGUCGGCCGGUGGGACGAGUGGUCGGCCGGUGGGACGAGUGGUCGGCCGGUGGGACGAGUGGUCGGCCGGUGGGACGAGUGGUCGGCCGGUGGGACGAGUGGUCGGCCGGUGGGACGAGUGGUCGGCCGGUGGGACGAGUGGUCGGCCGGUGGGACGAGUGGUCGGCCGGUGGGACGAGUGGUCGGCCGGUGGGACGAGUGGUCGGCCGGUGGGACGAGUGGUACUCCAUGCUUGGACCUAAGACAAAACAGAUUGACUGGAAGCAGAGUUAUAAAAUGUUCACACUCUCCAGGGUGGACACCUGCACACAAGACAAACAAGGGACCCACAGGUGGCAGAUUUUCCAACUGCAUCCUUACUGGAAAGUGCUCUGCAGGAAGAGGGAGGGAUAAAACGAAACAGGUUCAAAACCUUGUAGAUCCACACCAGCAGAUCCAUGCUGCAGAAACUAGGUCCUUUGGCCCCACCUGGUGGACAAAAUGAGGAAGAACAUGGUGAAAUGUUUGACAUGUCAAAACGUUAUGACGCGUGCGUGUUUCACCAGUGACGAAUGGAGGGCAGGGCUGGACGUCUCUCCAACCACAGCUCGCUGGUCUUAAAGUCACGUCAAGCUGCUUCCUCUGCUACAGAUGCAGGCCUGUGGACAGAAAUGAGAAGACCAUUAAAAGCAUUCGAUUGAA